rnacentral:rRNA from 1 species
AACGUUUACCAGGGUAGGAUUCGGAAUUCGGUGGACCUUACGGGAACUCGUGACACGAGGUGCUGCAGUGGCUGUCGUCAGCUCGUGCGUGAGAUGUUGGGUUAAGUCCCGUAACGAGCGCAACCCUUGUCCUUAGUUACCAGCACGUUAUGGUGGGCACUCUAAGGAGACUGCCGGUGACAACCGGAGGAAGGUGGGGAUGACGUCAAGUCAUCAUGGCCCUUACGGCCUGGGCUACACACGUGCUACAAUGGUCGGUACAAAGGGUUGCCAAGCCGCGAGGUGGAGCUAAUCCCAUAAAACCGAUCGUAGUCCGGAUCGCAGUCUGCAACUCGACUGCGUGAAGUCGGAAUCGCUAGUAAUCGUGAAUCAGAAUGUCACGGUGAAUACGUUCCCGGGCCUU